rnacentral:rRNA from 1 species
GUCGGUACUACAACGC